GCCAGUGGCGUAAGCACGUUGCAUGCAUCAGUUCCCACUGGAUCACUGAUGUUAAGCAACGCUGCGUGUGGUUGGUAUUCAGCUGGGUGACCAUAUGGUUUUUUUUUCUAAGCCUUAUAUUGUUUUCU
rnacentral:rRNA from 1 species